AACAUGAUCCGAGAGGGGCUCCCUGAUGUACAAGAUGCGCAGUUUAUCAAUGCUGCCACACCACAGCAAAGGAAUUGCCAUGACUGUGGCAUAUAUGUCAUGGCUGUGGCUGAAGUAAUCUGCCGAUGGUGGUCAAGGAACCGUGCUGGAGUUGACGCCACAGAUUGGGUUGACAUGGUGCUAAGAGAGUGCAAGGACCCUGAUAAGGUGGAAGCUAUGAGGACGAAACUUCUUAGGCAGAUUGAGUCAUACAAGACAAAGGACAAGUCAAAUCAUAGAGCUGUAGGGUCAGCGCCUCUGGGGUAAACCUGCAUCGCCAAACAACAAGCCUCAAGGUGCAUCACUAAUCAUGAGGAGAAAAGAAAGGUGAUCCAAUUUGUAUUGGAAGCGGACCAAUCCGGUAAUUUGCAUUUACUAAGAAGUGGAGGAUCUCAAAUAUCUCUCUUAAAGAUGUGAUGCCAGUUGACAGCGAGUAAAAUGCAAGAAUCCUUUGCGUUCUCUAGGCUGACAAAUAUUUACCUCCAAAAUAAAUACGAAGGAUAUAAUUUUGUACGUUACUGAUGAAUGCAAUCUCAAUAACUGUGUUCAUGAGUGGUGUUUUGAUUUUCUGCGCUAGUGAACCUGAGCGGUGUUUUUUAUUUUUCAGUUUCUGAUCUUACAGUAAUGGCGAAGCCUUGUUGUUUUGUGUAGUUUGUGGACUUGUGUUCAAAUGCUGCUGCCUUGCACAGCAUCAGGUCCUUGCUGGUUAAGCUUUGACAAUGCAUGGAACUCCAGCGUAGCCAGGGAAAUACUACGUAUUCGUCAGUUCAGUUAUCAAUUUACUUGUGC